UACGGGGGGAGCAAGCGUUGUUCGGAUUUACUGGGCGUAAAGGGCGCGUAGGCGGCCAGCACAAGUCAGUUGUGAAAUCUCCGAGCUUAACUCGGAAAGGUCAACUGAUACUGUGCGGCUAGAGUGCGGAAGGGGCAACUGGAAUUCUUGGUGUAGCGGUGAAAUUCGUAGAUAUUGGGAAGAACACCGAUGGCGAAGGCAGCCAUCUGGACCGACACUGACGCUGAGGCGCGAAAGCGUGGGGAGCAAACAGG
rnacentral:rRNA from 1 species